GAUGAAGAACGUAGUGAAAUGCGAUAAGUAGUGUGAAUUGCAGAAUUCAGUGAAUCAUCGAAUCUUUGAACGCACAUUGCGCCCUUUGGUAUUCCAAAGGGCAUGCCUGUUCGAGCGUCAUUUGUACCCUCAAGCUUUGCUUGGUGUUGGGCGUCUUGUCUCUAGCUUUGCUGGAGACUCGCCUUAAAGUAAUUGGCAGCCGGCCUACUGGUUUCGGAGCGCAGCACAAGUCGCACUCUCUAUCAGCAAAGGUCUAGCAUCCAUUAAGCCCUUUUUUCAACUUUUGACCUCGGAUCAGGUAGGGAUACCCGCUGAACUUAAGCAUAUCAAUAAGCGGAGGA
rnacentral:misc_RNA from 1 species